rnacentral:rRNA from 1 species
GGAUCAAUAUGUCGGUCGUGCCUUCGGUACGUACUGGUAUCAUUGGUCUCUCCUUUCUGACGAACCAUGAUGUCAUUAAUUUGGUGCGCCGGGGAAGCAGGACUGUUACCUUGAAAAAAUUAGAGUGCUUAAAGCAGGCUAUCGCCUGAAUACAUUAGCAUGGAAUAAUGAAAUAGGACGGCAUGGUUCUAUUUUGUUGGUUUCUAGGAUCACCGUA